rnacentral:misc_RNA from 1 species
AUUUAAUUAUGCCCUUUCAUGGGCUUUCUUGUGGUGCAUAUACCAGAAGAUUGCAGAACAUGAAAGCAUAGUCACACCACAAUUGACGUACAAUGUUGACUGCAGCAGGCUGCUGCAUAUUUCAUGCUGAUUUUUCUCACAAAGAAAUGCAAAAAUUAGUCAGUUCAAACAUGAACUGUGUUUGGUUGGGCCGAUGAACACAGUCCUUCCAUCUAUA